GAAUGGGCGACCGCCGGUGCAGGCGCCCCAGGGAACCCUGAGGACUCGGUGAGUGCCGUAUGAGGGCAAGGACCCAGCCCGGGACUCAGCGUCCAGCGCUCGGUGGGCACUCGGGCAAGGUUUGCAUGCUGCACAGCAGGUCGUCCAGGAAGCGGGGCGGUGGCAGACAGAUCUGCGCCCCCGGCCGGCCUCGGCCCCCACUCUCAGCUGGAGCACUGCUCUGUUAUCUGUUGGGGCACCCUUGUCCCCCAAGUCUCCCGGCCCGUCACUUCCUCUAGCAUUCCCAUGAUGGCCCUGGGGCGGGGGAGCGCCAGCCGAGGCGACCCUCUGACCAUGCCUGUCCUUCCAAAGGUGGAGGCUGCGCAGCAGCUGGGGUGCCCCUCGGAGGCAGGGCAGUGCCGCUUCAGUCGGGAGGAGUUUGAGCAGAUCCUUCAGGAGCGGAAUGAACUCAAAGCCAAAGUGUUCCUGCUCAAGGAGGAGCUGGCCUACUUCCAGCGGGAGCUGCUCACAGACCACCGGGUCCCCGGCCUUCUGCUCGAGGCCAUGAAGGUGGCUGUCCGGAAGCAGCGGAAGAAGAUCAAGGCCAAGAUGUUAGGGACACCAGAGGAGGCAGAGAGCAGUGGCGAUGAGGAUGGCUCAUGGCUCCUGCUCUCCGAUGAUAAGGGAGACCAUCCCCCAACCCCGGAGUCCAAAAUACAGAGUUUCUUUGGCCUGUGGUAUCGGGGUAAAGCUGAAUCCUCUGAGGAUGAGACCAGCAGCCCUGCACCCAGCAAGCUAGGGGGAGAAGAGGCCCAACCACAGUCUCCAGCUCCUGAUCCGCCCUGUUCUGCCCUCCACGAACACCUUUUUCUGGGGGCCUCAGCCGCCCCAGAGGCCUGACUUAGGGGUCUGGCUGUGGAAGGAUGUGUGGCCUCAAAUGAGGACAGGGCUCCCGCCUUCACAGCCCACGCCAGGGGUCUGCCCUGCACCAGGGCAGGAUGGGGGCUCAGCCCGCCUCCCUCUCUACGUCUCUGUACCGAGCCUCUGGGGCCAGAUAUAAGAGUGCCUCUCUGAGUCUCAGUUUCCCCAUCCGUGAAAUGAGAGCUGACUGCCUAGCUCCCAGGGCUUUGUGCAGACA
rnacentral:sRNA from 1 species